rnacentral:rRNA from 1 species
UACGGAGGGUGCAAGCGUUGUUCGGAAUUACUGGGCGUAAAGCGUGCGUAGUCGGUAUUGAGAGUCAUUGGUGAAAUCCCCGGGCUUAACCCGGGAACUGCCAGUGAGACCUCAGUACUAGAGUGUGAUAGGGGAUAGUGGAAUGCCAAGUGUAGCGGUGAAAUGCGUAGAGAUUUGGCGGAACACCGGUGGCGAAGGCGGCUAUCUGGAUCACAACUGACGAUCAGGCACGAAAGCGUGGGGAGCAAACAGGAUUAGAUACCCUAGUAGU